rnacentral:rRNA from 1 species
ACACGACUACAUUAGAUACCCCGGUAGUCCCAGCCCUAAACGAUGCGCGUUAGGUGUAUCGGUGACCACGAGUCACCGAGGUGCCGAAGGGAAACCGUGAAACGUGCCGCCUGGGAAGUACGGUCGCAAGGCUGAAACUUAAAGGAAUUGGCGGGGAGCACCACAAGAGGUGGAGGCUGCGGUUCAAUUGGACUCAACGCCGGAAAACUCAUCGGGAGCGACAGCAGUAUGAUUGCCAGGUUGAUGACCUUGCUUGACAAGCUG